AGAGACUUCUUUAUUCUUUAUAAAUUCUCCAAUUAUAAGCCAAUUUUUUCCCAUUGGCAUUUAUUUGUAUUUUUUUAUUUAUUUUUUUAUUUGAUUUUACAAUAAACAAAAAAAGGAACAAACAGGGACAGAACAUACAUGCUAUAACACAAUACUAAAAAAGUACAGCAUUAUUCAUCUACAAUCACUAAUUAGCCCUGACUAUGAAGUAUUAGCCAAGAUGGGAGCCCCCUGAAGUGCUCCAAGAGGAUGUAGAAAAACAUUUCUUCAAGAAAUUGCAAUGUUAGCUGGGACAAAGCUUAACACAAGUGCUCUCACUUCCCUUUAUAAAGCUCAUUCCAUGGGUAUAUUAUUAAAAACCUCCCUGAGCCACCGACUGAGUGGAAACUUGAUCUUGAGUAAAAAGAUCCAUCUGAGUAAAACAGCUGCUUCUUAAGAGAAGCUUAGGUAAUAGUUAUAUAUUUUUUGUGUAUACGUGUUAGAUAUUAAUACAUCCACAUCUCCUUCUGAGAUAUUCAAUAAAAACAAAUCCUGCACCAUUUUUAUCUCAUCAUUAAAAAAAAAAGUCGGUUACAUAAAAAAAGUUUCCCCGAGACUCAGAUGCAUGUGACCACACCACUUCCUCCAACUCAAAGCCACUUUAAGGCAUGCCAAAUUUACACUUCCCAGGCGGCAUACAAGCAGCUUUGCAGUGGCAUUUAGAUGUUUUUACAGUUUAAUGUUGCUCAGAGGUAUCAUAAAUGCCUUUACACAUCAAACACAACUGUAUGUUUUGACACUCGGGACCGAGGUGGGUCAGAGCAGCCUUAAAUCAGUCUGGCUUUAAUGCAGCAUUACACAGAACUCUGAGCAGGCACAAAGCAGCCUUAACUUAGCUGUGUAAAGAUGUCUCAAGAAGGACAUUUAUUAUUCAAUACAAAGACCUAUACAGGCAGUACACAGGGAGGAAUCAAGCAGCCUUUUUUAAUGGACGUGAAAGGAGAGGCUUCACUACGUUUAAUAAUAAUAAAGAAAAUAAAACUUUAAUUUUUGGACUGAUCUACUUUUAGAGUUUAUAGGGUUAAAUACAAGUUACAGCACAGCUGAUCAAACACCAGGCAUAUUGUGUACAUACAGUCAGCUAAGAACUCAUUGUCCAGAGACAAUCAUUAGGUGAAAACCAUAUUACACAAAACAGUGACUAAAGCAGAUCAAAUAUGAACAAAUGCAUAACCAUCCUCUCCCACUGUCCUUUUGUUACGUUGUAAAUCCAGUAGAGGGAGACAUCCUCUCAGUAUUCACUUCAUUCUUCCUCAAACCUGAGGCCUGGCAGACAAGAUGAUACAGGAGAGGCCCAGGUAGUGCUUUUUAGUGGGUUCAUUUAAAAACCUAGACCUCAGGGCAAGUUUUAAAACUUUGUUUCAAGUAUUCAGACAAAUUAACACUUCCAUACAUUUUUAUUGUCCAGUGUUUAAAAACAAUAACAGAACUGACAACUCAAACAUUGUACCAUUUCAGACAUCUCAUUCAUUGUCUUCGUAUAGCAGCCUCAUGUUUAAACAAUGCUAGAGAAGAGCGGUCCAAAGACGCUUGAAAGACCAGUGAUCCAGAACACCUUUAUUCAGGCAUGUUUAACUGGGGCUAGGGCUAAACUGCUGAAAGUGGCACUCCAGAAGCAGGAAUGGACACAUCCUAAACAGUGCAUUCAAAACCUCUUAAUUUUCCACAUUUUGUUGCAGCCUUAUGCAAAAAUCCUUGAUAUUUUUAUGUCAAUCUGCAUGUCAUUCCCAUGAUGACUAAGCGCCAAUCUGAUAAAAAUUAAUUUUAGGAAAGUGGCUCUCUAGGAACAAAAGAAGAACCCUGUUCUAGGAAUCUCCACUAAAGGAAGAUUUUAUAUUUGUAACCAUGUACAAUACAUUUAUGUAUAAUGUUAACAGUGAGCACUGAUCCCUUUUAACAUUUAAAAAAAAGCUGGAACAGAAAACGUGAUUUCUGAAGAUCUUCACACAUCUUACCCACAAUAGGAUGAUCUCGAUGGACCUUUCAAAUUCUCAAUCUUAUUUACCUCAUCCUGUAAAGAUAGUUUACAAAAAAAAAUUAAAUCAGGUCGAAAUAAUGUGACCAAUAUCAAAAUCAACAAAAUAGCAUUAACAACCCAUUUUACUUGCCUAACAUCACACAAUUUAUAAUAAAAAAAAAAAGUGAGGCUGUAUGUUGCUGACUGGGACAAUUGCCGACUCAAGAAAUUGAUGAAUAUAUAUAUAUAUAUAUAUAUAUAUAUUUAUUUUUUUAAUGGGAAAGUUGAACUUCUCAUUAGAAUCACAUGCGCUGUGCACGGUAAAACAUUAUGAGCGGAGGAUGUGGGGUCAAAACUAAUCUUACCUCAGCAGUACUGGCCGUUGGGAUCGAGGCAUUUUGGGGUCUUGUGUGACCUGCAACAACAAUCCUAGUUAGAAACUCAAGCCUGCAACCACAAGAAACACUUUUGACUUGAGUGUUCGCCCUCAGACUAGGCCUGCCUCAUUGUGUGAGCACAGACCACUCUCAGAAGGCACGGCUUGACCUGUGCUGCACAGCAGGAGUCACUAAAACAGCCAAACCUGCAGGAGCACAAACGGCAGCACCUUUCUCUUCCAGCAGAGUAACACUAGCUCAGGCAUGGACUGGCCUGCACAGCUGACUACCGCUGGGCUCCCAAAACACAGAGAAACAUCAAACUUACAUCGGAGCUACAGCAGCUGGAGAGUCCUCAUCUGGAGUAAAUCCAGAGCACAUUCAGCCUCCUAAAACAAGAAAGCAGCGCAUAUAAACACCGUACUACAGUGGACGUUUGUAUAAUGUGACGGUACAUACGGGGCUACGGCCAUUUAAACUACAAAUACCAACAACAAACGCGUUCCUGACAUGGACCACGGGAUUAGAGUGACUUGUCUGUUUUUAAAGUAGUUUUAUUUCUGCAGCAACAACCAAACUGCUAAAAAAAACAGCCACGUGCCAAACCCCGCGCGCACGAGUUCGUAUCUAACAUUUCGAAGCAGACCUCUUCAGACUAGUUUGAAACACUUAUUCUACAAGCUGUACGCAUCGAUUUGUUGUUUUAACAAAACGUACCUUCUUGUAACCGCCUGACUUUCUCAUUUUUGUAAGCUCUAGCGCACUCCCGCUGAACCAUCG
ensembl:lncRNA